CCUACGGGCGGCUGCAGUGGGGAAUAUUGCGCAAUGGGCGAAAGUCUGAACCAGCCAUGCCGCGUGCAGGAUGAAUGCCCUAUGGGUUGUAAACUGCUUUUAUAUAGGAAUAAACCCCUUUACGUGUAAAGGGCUGAAGGUACUAUAAGAAUAAGGACCGGCUAACUCCGUGCCAGCAGCCGCGGUAAUACGGAGGGUCCAAGCGUUAUCCGGUUUUAUUGGGUUUAAAGGGUCCGCAGGCGGCAAAAUAGAAAUCCUAUCGCUUAACGAUAGAACUGCCAUUGAUACUGUUUUUCUUGAGUAUACUUGAAGUGGGCGGAAUGUGCCAUGUAGCGGUGAAAUGCAUAGAUAUGACACAGAACACCGAUUGCGAAGGCAGCUCACUAAAUUAUAACUGACGCUCAUGGACGAAAGCGUGGGGAGCAAACAGGAUUAGAUACCCUAGUAGUC
rnacentral:rRNA from 1 species